CUGCACAAGCUCUCUGCAAACAUGGCAUCGACCAAGGACUAAGGGGAUCCAUGCAGAGCCGGUUCCAGACUUGGUGGUUAGGAGACCAAAGCCAUCCCCCAGGAGUGUAUGCAAAUCAACACUCUAUCAAGCAUACACAGGAUCCCUCCCUGACCUGCAAGUCUUGUCUCUUGGGGAAAGACUGAAAAAAAUCAGGCCGCAACCACUGAUAUCCUCAGUGCUACAUGGCUUGUCUGAAGUCUCCAUGGUCGACUCCAGCUUCAGACCUGUGCCGCGGGGUUCACCCCUGUCCUACCAGUGUC